UACAGGGGGUGCAAACGUUGCUCGGAAUUAUUGGGCGUAAAGCGCACGUAGGCGGUCUGUUAUGUCGGAUGUGAAAUCCCGCGGCUUAACCGUGGAAGUGCACCCGAAACUGUAUCGCUAGAGUCCCGGAGAGGAUGGUGGAAUACUUGGUGUAGAGGUGAAAUUCGUAGAUAUCAAGUGGAACACCGGUGGCGAAGGCGGCCAUCUGGACGGUGACUGACGCUGAGACGCGAAAGCGUGGGUAGCAAACAGG
rnacentral:rRNA from 1 species